rnacentral:rRNA from 1 species
UGCCAGCAGCCGCGAUAACACGGGGGGCGCAAGCGUUAUUCGGAAUUAUUGGGCGUAAAGGGCGCGUAGGCGGUCUUGUCGGUCAGAUGCGAAAGCCCGGGGCUCAACCCUGGAAGUGCACUUGAAACAGCAAGACUUGAAUACUGGAGAGGAGAGAGGAAUUCCUGGUGUAGAGGUGAAAUUCGUAGAUAUCAGGAGGAACACCGAUGGCGAAGGCAUCUCUCUGGGCCGAUAUUGACGCUGAGGCGCGAAGGCGUGGGUAGCUAACGGGAUUAGAUA